CCUAAAUCCUGACUUCUCCUUUAUAUUCUAUCCCCUCUGCCUCUUCAUUCUCCACAGAAAAAUAAGGAAGCCAAUUUGCAGAGCAAGGACGCCUAAAAAAAGUGACGAAACUUGCAUUGAAGGUUGGCAAAAACAAACCAAUAUUCUGCGAUUCUCCGUGCCUAUCAAAUCUCUUGAUUUUGAAUACGGCCUCGAACAAAUCGCUACAUACAUAAAUUAUAUUUAUAUACAA